rnacentral:rRNA from 1 species
AUGCCUUACACAUGCAAGUCGAACGGCAGCAUGGAAGAGCUUGCUCUUCUGAUGGCGAGUGGCGAACGGGUGAGUAAAGCAUCGGAACGUACCGUGUAGUGGGGGAUAACGUAGCGAAAGUUACGCUAAUACCGCAUACGCACUGAGGUGGAAAGCAGGGGAUCGCAAGACCUUGCGCUAUACGAGCGGCCGAUGUCAGAUUAGCUAGUUGGUAGGGUAAAGGCCUACCAAGGCGACGAUCUGUAGCGGGUCUGAGAGGAUGAUCCGCCACACUGGGACUGAGACACGGCCCCAGACUCCUACGGGAGGCAGCAGUGGGGAAUUUUGGACAAUGGGCGAAAGCCUGAUCCAGCCAUGCCGCGUGAGUGAAGAAGGCCUUCGGGUUGUAAAGCUCUUUCGGCUGGGAAGAAAUCGCACAGGCUAAUACUCUGUGUGGAUGACGGUACCAGCACAAGAAGCACCGGCUAACUACGUG